rnacentral:rRNA from 1 species
UACGUAGGGUGCGAGCGUUAAUCGGAAUUACUGGGCGUAAAGCGUGCGCAGGCGGCUUUGCAAGUCAGACGUGAAAGCCCCGGGCUUAACCUGGGAAUGGCGUUUGAAACUACGGAGCUGGAGUAUGGCAGAGGGGGGUGGAAUUCCACGUGUAGCGGUGAAAUGCGUAGAUAUGUGGAGGAACACCGAUGGCGAAGGCAGCCCCCUGGGCCAAUACUGACGCUCAUGCACGAAAGCGUGGGGAGCAAACAGG